rnacentral:lncRNA from 1 species
CUCUUCUUAUUUAUUUCUCCUCUUCUUCCUCUCCUCUUCUUCUCCUUUCUUCCUUUUCUUAUUUUCCUUUUUCUUCUCAUUCUUUUUCUUCUUCUUCUUCUUCCUUCUUCCUUCUUCCUCUUUUCUUCCUUUUCCUUAUUUUACUUUCUCCUCUACACUAACCUAAAAUGCACUAACCUAAAAUCGAUAUCUACUAACAACCUAAAUAAAAAAUUAAUACAUAUAUGAAAAAACAUAUAUAAACAAAAAAAUGCUAUGAACAUUAUAUUCAUACAUACAUAUAUAGCCACAUCCAUUCAUCAUAUAUAUAGCUACCACAUACAUAUAUGUAAAUCUGAGAAUGGGUGGGUAACCAAACCAAACCUGAACCGUACCCACGUGAUGUCGCUUUGGAAACUGAACCAAACUAUCCCCACAUAAUUGGCAUUGCCACCCAGCCCAAACUAAACCACAUGACAAAUUCCCCAAAACCAAACUAACCCAUUCUAGGAACUAUGGUUUUAGCCUAUGGUUCUAUAUCAGUUACCCACCCAUACAUGUACAGCUCAAUAUAUGAACGAUCAUGCAGUUGGACAUCUAAAAACAUAGCACCAGCUUAAUAACAGCUUACAUAUUCUGCACUACCAAUACUUAAAUUGAUGAACACUUGAUAGUUCAUAACAUGUACUAGUGCCAAACACAGAUUUUGCAGCACAAAUAUUACACUUGACAACUUACAUAUUCUGCACAACCAACACUUGAAGUACAGAGGUAAUAACAAACGGAGCUGAAUUAAGGGUGAUAAUUGAUUCCAAGCAGGGAUUGCGUUACGUCAUCUGCCGAUGAUGGAUGUCACCGAGUCCUCAUGGCAGUAGUAGUCAGCCUGUACUUUGAUCUGAAAAGACACAAUUUUUAGAUCUUGUAACCAUGAUAUAUCUUUACAUUGACACCGAGUUCUCAUUCACAAUAUGGCAAAUCAUCUCUAGCCAAUUUCAAAAACUGUUGUUAAUAAUUUUAAUCAAACAGGUUUCCCCUAAGAGGCCUAAACAAAUUUUAAAAAUUGUUAGAAAAAUGGAAGUUUUAUUACCCCUGAACAUCUGCAUCAUAGAUGCAUAUAGCCACAAUUAACAUGGUUCAUUACAGGUCAACAAAAUACAGAUUAAUCAAAAAAAGGGGACAGUACUGCUGCAUCUUUCCAUGCAAGAUUCAGACACUGUAUCAUGCAAGAUUCAGACAUUGUAGCAUCCAAUGCUCAUAUACUUUUACUUUUAGUCUGAAGAUUAUUUGCAUAGAUGGGUCACUUGUUUCUACUACUGUACAUACCCAGAACACCACAACAACUGCUACUGCCGGAGGUAAUUCUUUGCGGAUCUGAUUUCUACCAGCGCCAAAAAUAUACAGUGUCUAAUGGAUUGAUGGGUUGGAUCAAGGAAAAAAAUGGGGGCGAGGGGGGAGAUGGAUCGAUGGGUCUGUACCUACGGCGGCUGCGGCUGGAGGACAGCACCGUCGACGAACUCGAGGGCGGGGGCAAGCGCAUGAGUGCUGCAGCUAGGUGGAGUACCCUCUGCCGGAGACGACGGAGCAGGUGGCCGGCGUCGUGGUUGGUGAGGAGACAAGAUGUGUGGUCGAGGGAACCGGCCAGGCCCGCAAGGGAGAGCACGAGGAAGAGCGCCCCGUGGGCGAUGACGGGCCGCUUGCAUCGGCGAGGCAGCGCUGCCUUCGAGGCUCUGCUUCCGAGGAGGUGGUUGGUGCCUUGGUGGCCGGCGGCGACGGAGGCCUGGAGGAUGGAGGGACCGAGGGAGAGAUGGAAUCGGGGUUUGAGUUAGGGUGAAUGCGUGAUUGGGCUUGCUCCAGGGCGAGGAACCGGUUGGACCUG